rnacentral:piRNA from 1 species
UGGCUAACCUACCAGAUAAUCUCCAUGUUU